GACAGCAUGGUGUAGUGGUUUGAGCAUUGGACUAUGAUUCUGGAGGCCAGGAUUUGAUUCCCUGUUCAGCCA